UAGGCACAGGCUCCCUGUGACCCGAGAAGUUCGGAUAAGCGGUAGAAGAUGAGUGAGUGACUCCUCAUCCUCCUGUACUGAGGUCUACAAGCUCCAGGUCUCACCCACGAGAUGCCCACGUGCCCAAACUUCUCUACAUCCCUACAAACAUCUCCUUGAAUGACUGAAGUCUGUACACCAAACUGUAUUGUCCUGCUCCAAUAAACACUCAGUCUUCUGCUGGGCAUUUCUACAUGCUGGAUCACAGAAGAACGCAGUGGGAGCAUCCAUAUCUCUGGUGGAGCAGGACCUUGUUCUUACCACCUCCUUUUGCUCCUUCUUGUAAAAGAGAGCUCAGUUUUUGUCUUUUUCAAGAACCUCAAUGUCUCUUUGCAGAGCAUUAAUAGCUGUUUUAACAAUAACAGAUGAACAGUGAAAGUGUUAAUCACACUGAUGUUCCAUGUCUUUUCCAGAUAAAACCUGUCUAGAUUUUGGACCAUCUGCAGAGGACGGAUUGCGUUCAUAUGUAGACCUGAGAGCAGUGUGUUGCAGUAAUCCAGUCUCGAGAUGGACAAGAGACUGAACAAGUACCUGAGCAGCCUGUAGUCUUACCACAUUUUCCCCAGUAUAAGAAACACACUUUCAUCAUAAUGACCAAUGUAGUCACUCUGUGCCUUUAUUAGGAGCAUAAACAUUAACAACAAGCUUCAUGCUCUGUCUUUACUAAUAAUAAUCAACCUUUAAUUAUUCCUUCGAUCUUUAAAAUGUUAAUAUUGAGAUGUUCAGAGAAUAAAAUAACUACCCCUGCACUAGUUCUUGUCCCAUGACUCAUUACCACGUUCCCCCUCCACACAUAC